AUUGAACGCUGGCGGCAGGCCUAAUACAUGCAAGUCGAGCGCAGAGGCGGACGGGUGAGGAAUGCCUAGGAAUCUGCACGGUAGUAGCGGAUACCGUCCGGGAACGGGCGCUAAUACCGCAUACUAUCAGAUGAGCCUCGGUCGGAUUAGCUGGUUGGUGGGGUAAAGGCCUACCAAGGCGAUGAUGCGUCAGCGGUCUGAGAGGAUGAUCAGUCACACGGGAGCUGAGACACGGUCCAGACUCCUACGGGAGGCAGCAGUGGGGAAUCUUGGACAAUGGGCGAAAGCCUGAUCCAGCAAUGCCGCGUGUGUGAAGAAGGUCUUCGGAUUGUAAAGCACUGUUGGUUGGGAAGCGUUACCUACAGAGUAAGCACCGGCUAACUUCGUGCCAGCAGCCGCGGUAAUUC
rnacentral:rRNA from 1 species